CCUACGGGAGGCUGCAGUGGGGAAUAUUGGACAAUGGGCGAAAGCCUGAUCCAGCCAUGCCGCGUGUGUGAAGAAGGCCUUCGGGUUGUAAAGCACUUUCAGUGGGGAAGAAAGCCUUGGGGCUAAUACCCUCGAGGAAGGACAUCACCCACAGAAGAAGCACCGGCUAACUCCGUGCCAGCAGCCGCGGUAAUACGGAGGGUGCGAGCGUUAAUCGGAAUUACUGGGCGUAAAGCGCGCGUAGGCGGUCUGAUAAGCCGGUUGUGAAAGCCCCGGGCUCAACCUGGGAACGGCAUCCGGAACUGUCAGGCUAGAGUGCAGGAGAGGAAGGUAGAAUUCCCGGUGUAGCGGUGAAAUGCGUAGAGAUCGGGAGGAAUACCAGUGGCGAAGGCGGCCUUCUGGACUGACACUGACGCUGAGGUGCGAAAGCGUGGGGAGCAAACAGGAUUAGAUACCCCAGUAGUC
rnacentral:rRNA from 1 species